UACGUAGGUGGCAAGCGUUGUCCGGAUUUACUGGGCGUAAAGAGCGCGCAGGCGGCCAAGUCAGUCGAAUGUGAAAGCCCCCGGCUUAACUGGGGAGGGUCAUUCGAUACUGCUCGGCUCGAAGACAGGAGAGGGAAGCGGAAUCCCGGUGUAGUGGUGAAAUGCGUAGAGUAUCGGGAGGAACACCAGUGGCGAAGGCGACUACCUGGCCUGUUCUUGACGCUGAGGCGCGAAAAGCUAGGGGAGCAAACGGG
rnacentral:rRNA from 1 species